GAGGAUUGUGCGAGCUCUGAUCCUGGGGGAGCCGGAGCGUGGCCAGAACCAAUACCAGGUGCUGUGCUUCAUCUCACGGCUCAAUCACCACCAGAUCAUCCACACUGAGUCCAUGGCCCGCCACAGACAAAAGAACCCAACUUGGUCCGCAGGGCAGAGGAGAGGUGUGAGGUGGAACACAUCCACAUGGACAUGGUGGUGAACAUGAGUCGUGCAGGGCACCUCAACACACUCAUCCACAACGUGUGUAAGGAGGCACACAGGGGGUUUUAUACCCGGACAGGCGACACCAAUCAUUGGCUGGAUAAAGGAAUAGAGGCCAUUGAAUUUGAGUCCCUGCCCUAAACAGCAAACGCCCCUGGUCUGCAGCGAUGCCCCUCCACUCUGGAUCUGUGACAGCCCUGUGUCUGCAGCUAUUGCCUGCGUCUGGGGUGGCUCCCAUGCCUGCUCAAAUACUGCCGCAGCCGCUUGGGCGUGGCUGGAAGGGCCAACCCCUAUAUGUGUGGCAUCAGGAGCUGCAGCAAGGGCUACCGCUUCGACUACUACGUCCCCCAUAGACAGCUCUACCCAUGGGACGAGGAGACCUAAAGCAGCCUGUUUGGCUCCUGGUUCUUUCCUAGAAGGCAUUUAGCCUACAGUGCAUGUCUAGACUGAUCAAGUCAGGGGAUUCACGUACAGUUGAAGUUGGAAGUUUACAUACACCUUAGCCAAAUACAUUUAACCUCAGUUUUCCACA